CUUGUACCAAACGAGUAGCGAUGAAUUCAAUUCGAUUAGCAGUUCUUCGUACAGAUACGUAGAAAUGUCCCUUUCAGUUUAAAUAGCUUGUAGCAAUUACACGUCCUUACUCUGACGCAGUCACAACUUUACUAACUCACGCUAUCUAGUCUAUUAGGAACAUAUGGUAUAGCCGUUUCCGUCCUGGUAUCAAUCAAAUUAACUAUAUUAUUAACUAAAACAUAAUGAACUAUUUAUGAAGGACAAUGAACUAAUUUUUAGUAAGCGUUUCAAACCAACAGCCCAGGCUUAUGCAUACCGCCGCUCCACAGCAUAAAGGCGAGGGCUAAAAUUGCUAUUAAAUUAUUAAUACUGUAGAGUGUAUUAGGGAAAAUGGCUGUAAGCCUGUAAGAACUUGUUGUUUUGUUUAAACUUAUAGGAU